rnacentral:rRNA from 2 species
GUUAUAGGGUCAAGCGAACAAGUGCAUGUGGUGGAUGCCUUGGCGAUCACAGGCGAUGAAGGACGCGGUAGCCUGCGAAAAGCUACGGGGAGCUGGCAAACAAGCUUUGAUCCGUAGAUGUCCGAAUGGGGAAACCCACUCCUUUUGGAGUAUCCAUGGCUGAAUACAUAGGCCAUGUGAAGCGAACGCGGUGAACUGAAACAUCUAAGUAACCGCAGGAAAAGAAAUCAACCGAGAUUCCCAAAGUAGUGGCGAGCGAAAUGGGAUGAGCCUUGCACUCUUUAUUUGUAUUGUUAGCCGAACGCUCUGGAAAGUGCGGCCAUAGCAGGUGAUAGCCCUGUAGGCGAAAACAGUAUGAAAGAACUAGGUGUGCGACAAGUAGGGCGGGACACGUGAAAUCCUGUCUGAAGAUGGGGGGACCAUCCUCCAAGGCUAAAUACUCGUGAUCGACCGAUAGUGAACCAGUACCGUGAGGGAAAGGCGAAAAGAACCCCGGGAGGGGAGUGAAAUAGAUCCUGAAACCGCAUGCAUACAAACAGUCGGAGCCUCGUAAGGGGGUGACGGCGUACCUUUUGUAUAAUGGGUCAGCGACUUACGUUCAGUAGCAAGCUUAACCGUAUAGGGCAGGCGUAGCGAAAGCGAGUCCGAAUAGGGCGUUCAGUUUGCUGGGCGUAGACCCGAAACCAGGUGAUCUAUCCAUGGCCAGGAUGGAAGGUGCGGUAACACGUACUGGAGGUCCGAACCCACUAACGUUGAAAAGUUAGGGGAUGAGCUGUGGGAUAGGGGUGAAAGGCUAAAACAAACCUGGAAAUAGCUGGUUCUCUCCGAAAACUAUUUAGGUAGUGCCUCGUGUCUCACCUUCGGGGGUAGAGCACUGUCAUGGUUGGGGGGUCUAUUGCAGAUUACCCGCCAUAGCAAACUCCGAAUACCGAAGAGUGCAAUCACGGGAGACAGACAUCGGGUGCUAACGUCCGGUGUCAAGAGGGAAACAACCCAGACCGCCAGCUAAGGUCCCCAAAUAUAGCUAAGUGGGAAACGAAGUGGGAAGGCUAAAACAGUCAGGAGGUUGGCUUAGAAGCAGCCACCCUUU